CAACAAGUUUUGUUGCCACUUUUCAAGAUAUAUUAACAUCGAAAACUCGACUUUACGCCAAAAAAAUCGAUUUCUGGACCACAGUUCACUGCGAGUAUUCUUACUCGAACCAAUUCCCACACAAAUAAUGGCGUGCAAGUCGGAGCCAGCAGCAGCGCAGUGGAGCAACUGGUGGAGUGCAAAAAUAGGAAUAUAGGAAUUGCAGAAAGAGGGAUACUUGGCCGCCGUAUGCGAACACAAUGCCCGAGAACCGGCGAUACGGUCUGGUGAUAACAAACCAGAGUUCGGACGCGGACGUUGUGUACACCUUUGCCCUGAUUGUGAACGCCAACCGACGCCGAUGCGUAGAAUGCCGCGCUGUUCUUCUUACUUAUAACGGGGAUUUCAUCUGGCGCUGCUGUUUGCCACCAUAGGCUUCAUACCUCAACCUUAGCUAACAUGACGUUCGACUCCAGCAUGCUAGUGGUCUGCGAGGAUGAGGAAACCGCCCAAUGGGUCAUCUCAGCCGUCUAU
rnacentral:misc_RNA from 1 species